rnacentral:lncRNA from 1 species
UAGUUCUCUAUUUUUCAUAUUUUAAAUUCAUAAACAUUUUUUUCUAUAUAUCUUAUACAAAUGUCUAAUUAAAAAAAUAUAUAUGUUGAAUUUGUUUAUUUGAUAUCGAAUAUCGGUUAUACAAUAGAUGGUUUAAAAUUAAAUACAAAAAAAAAAGUUUUAGUCAAUGUAAUACGAUUAAAUAUUACAAAUACAUCAUUUAAUACAAAAAAAAUUAAAAAUAAAAAUAAAUAUCCUCAAGGUCGCGU